UUUUUGUUGUUUGUUUUUUGUUUUGCUUUUAUUUUCUUCAUGAGCAAGACUAAGGUAGAGCACCUCACGAUACAUGCACUGGUGUGGAAAAAAAAAAAACAAAUAAAUGCAGGAGAGUGAUUACUAUAAAAGUCAGAAUAUUAGUUUUGAUGGGAAAGAGGCAGAAAUGAAUGAAAUAAGGCACAUGGAAGAUUUAUGGGUUGUCUGAACAAGAACCAAUUUCUUAAUGUGAAUUGUGAUUACUGGACCACUUUUAAAUAAUUCCCUAAGCUAUACAUUAGUUUUAGAAGAUUUUAUGAUUUUUAAAAGAAUUUCAAAAAUUUAACCCAGUCAUUUGUAACUCUAUGAUUAAUUCUACACUGAUAAAAUAUUUUUCUUUCUCUAUAAUAAACUUAGGAUAUUUUAAUUACUUAAUAAAUGCAAGAUAAUUAGCCAUUUGACAAAAAACCACACAUUCAUGUGUAACUAGAAACUUACUUAAAAUAAAAACUGUCUAAUUCUUAUUUCUGAGUACAAUAUUUUGCACAUAAAAAUCAUUUAAUUUUUAGCAAAGUUCAGAAUUCAACUAAAGACAAAUUAUAGUUCUAGUUUCAAGCUUCUAGAUCUUGUACUUGUUAAAACUUUCAACAAACUACUAAAUUUUUUAAUGGAGCUAACUGUCCUUCAGAGUUAGUAAACUCAUUAAGAGACAAAGCCUCCACUAAUUAUUGUGUAAGUGUUUGAAAAAUACUAUUGGUACUUUAGUCUCAAACUACAUUUUGAUUCACAAUCACAGUAAUAAGAUACCAUCACAUAUACUCUCAUGAGGAUUCAAUUUAAAAAAAAAAAAAAAAACUGCUAUACUUCUUCACCACAGUAGUAAGUGCACAACCUUAUUUUCUUUUCUCAAAAUACUUCCAAGAAAUACAAUGAUCCAUCUAAAUGGCCUACAAUUGUCCAUCAUUCUUGUGUGUGGUAUAUCAAAAUCUAAUAACGGAGAAGACAGCUUCGUGCAAAACUAACCUACUCUUCAUAUGAUCCAGCAGUCAUGCUCCUUGGUAUUUACCUAAAGGAAUUGGAAAGCUACAUUCACACAAAAACCUGCUAAUGAGUGUUUACAACACUUUUAUUCACAAUUGCCAAACUUUAGGAGCAAACAACAUGUCCUUCAGCAGGUAGAUGGAUAAACUUAAUAUAUAUAUAUAUAUAUAUAUAUAUAUAUAUAUAUACACAUAAAUAUAUUUGAUUUUAUAAAUAUUUGCUAUUUAAUAUUUUAUUUAUAAAAUCAAAUAUUUAUAUAUUAUGUUAUAAAUUAUAUGUAUAAUUUAUAUAUUAUAAAAAUAUAAAUAUAUAUUUGAUUUUAUAAAUAUUUGGUUUUUAUUAAAAAUAAUUUGAUUAAAAUAUAUUUGAUUUUUAUAAAUAUAUAUAUACACACACACGAGAGAUAAUAGCUCAUAUCUUUUUAGUGAUAAAUAAUCUAUCAAAUCAUGAAAACAUGAAAGAAAUUUAAAUGAAUAUUACUUGUGAAAAAAAAAAAUCACCCUGAAAAGGCUAUAUACUAUAGGAUUCCAACUCUGACAUUUGGAAAACUAUGAAGACAGGAAAAAAAAAAAAAUCAGUCACUGCCAGUGGUUGAGGGCAUAGGGAGGAAGAUGAGUAGGAAGAACAUGGGAGUAUUUUUCUGGUAGUAAAAAACUGCCUGUAUGAUAUUAGAAGGAUGAAUACAAAACAUUAUACGUUUGUCCAAACCAAUUAACCAUGUAACACCAACAGUGACCCAUAAUGUAAAGUAGGGACUUUGUGGGGUUAUGGUAGGUCAGUGUCUAGGUCCCUCCACUGUAACAGAUCUACAACUCUAGUAGCGAACAUUGAUAAUGGGGGAGGCUAUGUUAUCUUUGGGGGCAGGGGAUAAAGCAAAAUAACUAUAGCUUCCUCUCCAUUUUGCAUUAUCUUUCAAUUGCUCUAAAUGAAUCUUUUUAUAAAGUUGAAUAAUGUGACUUACAAGAAUUUUAGAGUACAAUUUUGCUGUCAAUAGGAUCUCAGCUAAAUUCUGGUUCUUUCCCUUUGUAUAACCUGGACCUGUUUCCUUAUAUUUAAAGAUCAUAAGGAGGGGCAGCCCAGGUGGCUCAGCGGUUUAGCACCGCCUUCAGGCCAGGACCUGAUCCUAGAGACUGGGAUGGAGUCCCACGUCAAGCUCUCUGCAUGGAGCCUGCUUCUCCCUUGGCCAGUGUCUCUGCCUCUCUCAGUCUCUCAUGAAUAAAUAAAUCCUAAAAAAAAUAAAGAUAAUAAGUAUUAAAGGAAAUAAUAUAAAACAUGUAUCACAGCAAAUAAUAUGUAAACAUUCAAAUAUUUUGAAAGCAUUUAUAAUGGCAUACGUCGUAUUUCAGGGGAUAGGAGUGAGUUAUAAUAGAAAACUUGAAGACCACUAAGUCUGGGUCCUUCUUCAGUGUAGGAAAACAAGUAAUGUUAAUGAUCAGACAUUUUAAUCACAUGAUUAACUUUACUAAUAUAAAUAUUCAAGAUGUUUUCAUUAGUGAAAUAUUGGGGUUUUUUCCAAUUCACUAUUUUUAUCAUUUUUUUUAAAACACAAUCCUCAAAAAAAAAAAUAAAAUAAAACACAAUCCUCUUUAUAAAGAUUUACAAUAUUAUUUGCUGUAACUUAGAAAAAAAUCAAGGUAAAUUUUGACAUUAGGAAAGUAUAGACAUACGAAACAUUAAAUGUACAGUAGUGAAAUUCUAUUGGUAGAAAUAUCUAUAAUGUAAAAAUAUAUUUAACUUCGCAUUCUUAAAAAAUAAACUCGGUAAAGAACUGAACCAUGGAUUAGAAAUAAAAUAUCCAAGACAGUCUCAACUAGUUGAUAUAUUUUAAGUGAUAUAUUUUAAUUUGUGAUUUCUUUCACCCAUGUGAUUAGAACUGUUUUAUUUAGAAAAACUCCAAUUUUGGCUCAUGUUUUUUACUAAGUUAAUUUUUCUCUAAGUUAUUUUUGUUAUAGUCAAAGAACACAUUCCACAUGAUUUCAAUCUUUUGAAAUAUAAUGAAGCUGAUUUUAUGAUCCAAUAUAUGGCCUAUAUAGUUGAAUACUCAAUGAGCUUGUAAGAAGAAUGUGUAUUCUGUAGUUGUUGAUGUUUAUAUUCUGUAAACAAGAAUGGGGUUAAGGUAGUGGACAAUGUUGCUCCAUUAUUCUAUAGAUUUUUAAUAUAUUUGUUCAAUUGAUUAUUAAGAGAAGGGUAUUAUAGUCUCCAACCAUUUUCUUUUAAGUAGACUCUAUAUCCAAGGUGGAGCCCAAUGUGAGGCUUGAACUCAGGACCUUAGAUCAAGACCUGAGCUGAGA
rnacentral:lncRNA from 1 species